rnacentral:rRNA from 1 species
GAUGAACGCUGGCGGCGUGCCUAAUACAUGCAAGUCGAGCGAACAGACGAGGAGCUUGCUCCUUCGACGUUAGCGGCGGACGGGUGAGUAACACGUAGGUAACCUACCUAUAAGACUGGGAUAACUUCGGGAAACCGGAGCUAAUACCGGAUAAUAUUUCGAACCGCAUGGUUCGAUAGUGAAAUAUGGCUUUGCUAUCACUUAUAGAUGGACCUGCGCCGUAUUAGCUAGUUGGUAAGGUAACGGCUUACCAAGGCAACGAUACGUAGCCGACCUGAGAGGGUGAUAGGCCACACUGGAACUGAGACACGGUCCAGACUCCUACGGGAGGCAGCAGUCGGGAAUCUUACGCAAUGGGCGAAAGCCUGACGGAGCAACGCCGCGUGAGUGAUGAAGGUCUUCGGAUCGUAAAACUCUGUUAUUAGGUAUAAACAACCGUGUAAGUAACUGUGCACGUCUUGACGGUACCUAAUCAGAAAGCCCCGGCUAACUACGUG